CAACGCCGCGUGAGUGAAGAAGGUUUUCGGAUCGUAAAACUCUGUUGUUAGAGAAGAACAAGGAUGAGAGUAACUGUUCAUCCCUUGACGGUAUCUAACCAGAAAGCCACGGCUAACUACGUGCCAGCAGCCGCGGUAAUACGUAGGUGGCAAGCGUUGUCCGGAUUUAUUGGGCGUAAAGCGAGCGCAGGCGGUUUCUUAAGUCUGAUGUGAAAGCCCCCGGCUCAACCGGGGAGGGUCAUUGGAAACUGGGAGACUUGAGUGCAGAAGAGGAGAGUGGAAUUCCAUGUGUAGCGGUGAAAUGCGUAGAUAUAUGGAGGAACACCAGUGGCGAAGGCGG
rnacentral:rRNA from 1 species